AGAAGAGCCCUGUGGCUUCAGGCUAUUCGGCGUGGGAAAUGUGGGGACGCAGAGUAAGCGUUGCUAUGCGUGUGGAAAACAUAUCACAGUCUCCAAGGGGCAGCGAAUUCAGAGUAGGGGAGAGGAGUGCAGUGCGUUGACUCGAAGUUCCGCAUGUACUUCCGUGCCUGAGGAAAGGAGGGAGGGAACAAGUGAUGGAAACGGAGAAGAGUCGGACAAUGAACGAGAGAGAACAUUCCCAAUAAAUGGAACUCUGUAGAUUA